rnacentral:rRNA from 1 species
AUUGAACGCUGGCGGCAUGCUUUACACAUGCAAGUCGAACGGCAGCGCGGGCUUCGGCCUGGCGGCGAGUGGCGAACGGGUGAGUAAUGCAUCGGAACGUGCCCAGUAGUGGGGGAUAGCCCGGCGAAAGCCGGAUUAAUACCGCAUACGACCUGAGGGUGAAAGCGGGGGACCGAAAGGCCUCGCGCUAUUGGAGCGGCCGAUGUCGGAUUAGCUAGUUGGUGGGGUAAAGGCUUACCAAGGCGACGAUCCGUAGCUGGUCUGAGAGGACGACCAGCCACACUGGGACUGAGACACGGCCCAGACUCCUACGGGAGGCAGCAGUGGGGAAUUUUGGACAAUGGAGGCAACCCUGAUCCAGCCAUGCCGCGUGCGGGAAGAAGGCCUUCGGGUUGUAAACCGCUUUUGUUCGGGAAGAAAUCCUCUGGGCUAAUACCCCGGGGGGAUGACGGUACCGGAAGAAUAAGCACCGGCUAACUACGUG